CCGGCCCAGACUUCGAGGGCGCCUCGGACCCAGCCCUUGCUGCAGGCCCUGGGUCCUCGGAGCCCGAAGGUCAGGGCAGUCAGGGCGCGCCCGGUCCGACCGACUCCCAGGCCACCGGACACCUCGCCGGCCGGGGGAGUCGGGCUUUCCGUUGUCUUCCCCCAAGCCCGAUCUGCCGUGUGUGUGAGGACUCCGCCGUCCUCCCGGACCCCUGACUGACAGCCCCCGCCGCCCCCCACCCAUCCAAUCUGCGGCCGAGGCCAGAACUCUGGGACGUCUCUCUCCCCCUUAUUCCCUGGGGGCCCUGGGGUUCUAGCAUGUCGGGUGUGAGGGGGUAAUUUACUGCCCCUCAGGGGCGGCUUCCAGAAGCCGGAGCAAGCACAGCAGCCGCACCUGCACCAGGAGCAACGCACCUGCAUUGGCCAUGGGAGCAAAGUGGGCUGGGCUUAACUGAAGGGCCUCAGAGCCGCUUGGCGAGUUAGGGGACGCACCGAAGUGCCAAGACUUCCCCUGGCAGAAGCCGUUUCAACAGCUGGGGGUUGAGCUCCGAACUUGGUCACCCGGGAGGCCCUCAUAUGCACAAGAGGCAGUGGGGAACAGUGGGAGCUUGGUUACCCUUGUGUGCUUCAGAAAUGGGGAGGGGGUCACCAUUUAAUUAAAAAAGCUGGGGAGAUCUCUAGAAGCAAAGCAAAGUUUAUUAUACAUUCUCCCGAAAACGCAUGGAGCAGACAUGGAAGGGAGGAAGCCCUUUCUGAGGCAGGGUUAACACUUUUAAUCCCUAACACCCCCUCCCACCACUGGCCCUCAUCCCCAUUGGCUAAGGUUCUCACAUUCUAAAGGAGGGAAUUACCCAAGAAAUUGACCUUGAUCAAUAAGUACAUAGUUGCCCAUAUUUGACUGAAAUAGGGAGAAAAUGAUGUCAUGGGAGGAUAGCAGGAAGGGGACUUAGGUAUGCUCUUGACUCAAUCUUCAAAGUCCUUCAGGCCUCCUCCAACUGAAGUAGAUGAAGCCUUACUCGAUUUUCACAAGUGUCUUGAAAGAUCUCACCUCAUCUCGUUCACCCUGGACGCCCUCAUAUGGACAAGAGGCAAAGAGGGCAGUGGGAAAGACACUUAAGUAAUAAAAGAUGUCAGGGAGGAAGAAAUGACAAGGUCCCUAAAUGAGGAGUCUAGGUUCCUGCCCAGGGUGUGACUCCCAGGGAUUAGGGUAAUGGCAGUGCCUUCAGCAGUACUGAACCAGUUCUGAAAUGGGGAGGGUUCCAAGGGGAAAGGUCAUGAGAUCUCUUCAGAAAUGGGGAGGGUUCCAAGGGGAAAGGUCAUGAGAUCUCUUCAGAAAUGGGAAGCUUCUAAGGGGAAGGUCAUGAGAUCUCUUCAGAAAUGGGGAGGGUUCCAAGGGGAAGGUCAUGAGAUCUCUUCAGAAAUGGGGAGGCUUCUAAGGGGAAGAUCAUGAGAUCUCUUCAGAAAUGGGGAGGCUUCUAAGGGGAAGGUCAUGAGAUCUCUUCAGAAAUGGGGAGGGUUCCAAGGGGAAAGGUCACGAGAUCUCUUCAGAAAUGGGGAGGCUUCUAAGGGGAAGGUCAUGAGAUCUCUUCAGAAAUGGGGAGGCUUCUAAGGGAAAGGUCACGAGAUCUCUUCAGAAAUGGGGAGGGUUCCAAGGGGAAAGGUCAAGAGAUCUCUUCAGAAAUGGGGAGGGUUCCAAGGGGAAGGUCACGAGAUCUCUUCAGAAAUGGGGAGGGUUCCAAGGGGAAGGUCAUGAGAUCUCUUCAGAAAUGGGGAGGCUUCUAAGGGGAAGAUCAUGAGAUCUCUUCAGAAAUGGGAAGCUUCUAAGGGGAAGGUCAUGAGAUCUCUUCAGAAAUGGGGAGGGUUCCAAGGGGAAGGUCAUGAGAUCUCUUCAGAAAUGGGGAGGCUUCUAAGGGGAAGAUCAUGAGAUCUCUUCAGAAAUGGGGAGGGUUCCAAGGGGAAGGUCAUGAGAUCUCUUCAGAAAUGGGGAGGGUUCCAAGGGAAAGGUCACGAGAUCUCUUCAGAAUGGGGAGGCUUCUAAGGGGAAGGUCAUGAGAUCUCUUCAGAAAUGGGAAGCUUCUAAGGGGAAGGUCAUGAGAUCUCUUCAGAAAUGGGGAGGGUUCCAAGGGGAAGGUCACGAGAUCUCUUCAGAAAUGGGGAGGCUUCUAAGGGGAAGAUCAUGAGAUCUCUUCAGAAAUGGGGAGGGUUCCAAGGGAAAGAUCAGGAGAUCUCUUCAGAAAUGGGGAGGCUUCUAAGGGGAAGAUCAUGAGAUCUCUUCAGAAAUGGGGAGGAUUCCAAGGGAAAGGUCAUGAGAUCUCUUUAGAAAUGGGGAGGGUUCCAAGGGGAAGGUCACGAGAUCUCUUCAGAAAUGGGGAGGCUUCUAAGGGGAAGAUCAUGAGAUCUCUUCAGAAAUGGGGAGGGUUCCAAGGGAAAGGUCAUGAGUUCUCUUCAGAAAUGGGGAAGGUUCCAAGGGGAAGGUCAUGAGAGCUCUUUGAAGAGGGAACCCCAAAACUCUGAAAAUCCUUAAAGGAGAAAACCUCCUUCAACUCUGCCUCAGUGAGGGGACUCCGCCCAAAGCACAAACAGCUUCAUCUUUGUUAUCUGGGUGGGGCCGGCUCUGUCCCUAAACCCAUUGAAUUCCAUUCAAAAUCUAGCCCUUGCUGAAACCCAGUGAGAAGCCAACUUGGGACUCCACCCACAGGCCCCCUGUUAUAAAAGAGCCGCACUAAAACCCUCUCUUUGCAGAGGUUCCAAACAUGCCAGCCCUAUGCUUGGCACACCAAGGGUCUCUGCCCACUGGAAGUUUCCAGUGCCCUCCUCUCUCCCCUCCCCUAGUUCCUUAACCAGACUUGAGCCUUACUUUCAAUGCCCAUAAUAAACCUCUUUUAUCAAUCUAGGUUUUCAGGUCUGUAAAUUCCUUUACAGGGGACUCUUGUGCUGCCACUAGACCUCAUUUAACUCCCUGACCACCAGAAAUCCUAAUUUCAUUUAGGUUCCCCAAAUCUAAACCUCCUCAUCUUCAGAAAUGGGGAGGGUUCCUAGGGAAAGGUCAUGAGAUCUCUUCAGAAUGGGGAGGGUUCCCACGGAAAGGUCAUGAGAUCACUUCUGGACUGGAGCUUGAGAUGCCUACAGGGCUUCCAGGUUGAAAGUUCUAAAAGCCGGCAAUUUGGGAGCUCCUGAGACAGCGUUAUAGAGGAGCUACAUUUGGUACCUACUGACUUGGGGUCCCGGGAGGGGAGGGGAAGGCGGCGCCAAGGCCACCAAAGAAGAGAGACAAGGAGGGCACCCUCGUGUUUUAGGGGCAAGAGAUGGACUCUGAGCCAGGAAAGGGAAUGUGCACUGAAUGGGGACCAUAAUGGGAGCUCAGGGGUCAUGGAGUCCAGUCAUCUCCCGGACAGCCAGGAAACCGAGCCUCAGAGAUUAAGCCACGGGCCACUCAAGCCGGCAAAGGCUUACCACAGGCAAGACACUGACCUGGCCACGGGGGAUGAAAGGCAGACCCGGAGGGGCCUGAGAACGGCACAAAUUAACCAGCGAUUGGCCGGUCCAUGCUAAAGCCCCCCAAGAAUGGGAGCUGCUCUUUCCUGCGGCCCAGACCUGCCUCACCGCAAUGCUCCCCAUUUCCCCAUCUUGGGGCUUCCCCGCCCCUGUUCCCUCAGCCAGCCUUCUCUUCUCCAGGGUAAACAUCUCCCGGCCCUCGUGGGCUGACUCCCUCCUAAUGCCCUGAACCCGAGAGGGACAGGGUGGGGACGGUCCCUCCCCUGCAAGGCGCCCGCCUCUGGGGACAUUCUGACAAGGGCCCAGCCUUCACCCCGCACUGGUGGCAGCCCCAGGUCUCCAGCUUGCACCCUGUGAGUCAGCAGGGAGACGCCCCGCCCAGGGCUUGCCCUUUGCACCCGGGCAGGCUGGGGACAUUCUCCACCCAUUCCCCGAUGCUGGUCCCCCCGGCCUGUUUCUUGGCGCCCAUCGCCCCCCACCGGCACCAAUCUUGUAAGCCAGGUCUGCCCUAAAACAGUCUUGGCUGGGCUCAGGGCAGUGGGAGCUGGGAGCAAGGAGAGGGGACGAGCACUUAUUGUGUGCCCUGGGCCAAGGGUCACCUCUCUCAAAUCCGUUCUCCCCGGCCCUGAGCCCGGGCAGUGGUGGUUGCUGCCUGCUGGGACGUCCCCUGCUGGGAGCGGGAUGCGGCAGGGGAGAGGGGGCAGUGAAACAAGCCCGGUGCGGAGGGGAGAAAGGGAAAUGGGAGUCGGGGGCUUGGGCGGCCUUGGGCCUUGCCGGGGGGGCGAGUGCCUGGGGGGACGGGCCCACAACAGCCUGGGGGGCUCUGCGCAGGGUGGACUUCCUCCUCCUCCCAGAGCUCCGGGACAUCAGGGGCUGCUGCCGGGACAGCAAGGUUGGAGGGAGGCAGGGCCGGGGUGACUGGAGAUGGCCCUGGCAGCCAAGGGGGCCGGGCGGGAAGAGCCGAGUUCGUGUGGCCCCAGACCCGUGUGGCCCUGGGCCAGUGACAAGUGCUGCUUGUCUCGUUCGCCAGCCUGCUUCCUUGGUGAUCUCACCAGCUCCCAUGGACAUAAUGACCACGUCUAUGCUGAUGGUUCUCAGUCCUGUGUUUCCUGCCCUGACCUUCUACUGACCUCCAACCUCCCACCUCCAACUGGACGCCCCACAGAUAUCUGGAACCCGAGGCAGCCAAAACAGAGCUCCCGACCCUAACCCACUCCCUCUGGUCUUCCUAACUCCCUGUUACUGUGGAGGACAACUGCUGGCUCCUCUCUCGCCCCCCCAGGCCCAUCAGUGCUGCCCUUGCGGCAUCUCAUGGACCCGUGCCCUCAUUUUCCCUGCCCUCCUCCCUCCUACCCUCUCCCUCCACGCCCGCUCUCUUGCAGAGGUGCUUUCAGUCCGUCCUCCAUCUGGCCACCAAAGCGACUUCCCAAAGUCACAAGUUUGACCACGAGCCACCCCCUUACUGUGCCAUGAGCAAGGGGAAAGGGCACGGAUGCAGAGAAAUCUGGGAAGACAUGUAUGGACCGAUGCAGAGGGAAGAGAGAACCGGAGAACAUUUUGUGAAAAAUCAAAAACAAAACAAGACCGAGCUGCUUUUAGGGCCGUGUGAUCAAGAUGAUGGCCAACCAGAUGGCCACGAGCCAAUGGCGUCCAUCUCCUGACCGAGAGCCAUGGGUCACCACAAGCGCUCUUCAGACACGGCCAGGGCAAGUGUAUUUGCUUGGCUCUGUGGGAGUUUUGUUCUUCCUUUGUUUUCUGUGUCAUUAUUUUUGCUGAUUUAUUUUCUCUCCUUUCUCUUUUUUAGUUUUAUCUUUAAAAUUCCCCUUUUUAAAAGAAGGAAUGGCUCUUUGGGAGGGAACCAGAAGGAAGGUUACGGGAAAUCUAAGUGAUAUAAAAACAAAAGACACCAAUAAAACAGAAAAAGAAAAGAAGUGCAUCCCUG